UGGUAUAUAAAUGCCACUGAUCGCCUGAUCCUUGCUUUACCUAUGUUUUUUUUAUAAUCAAGAUGAGCAAAGUUUCAGGUGUGUUUGUGGUCGUUUUUAUUUCU